rnacentral:rRNA from 1 species
GACGAACGCUGGCGGCGUGCUUAACACAUGCAAGUCGAACGGUGAAGGGACCGGUUUUUGCUGUUUCUGGGUGAGGGGCGAACGGGUGAGUAACACGUGAGUAACCUGCCCCCUUCUUCUGGAUAACCGCAUGAAAGGGUGGCUAAUACGGGAUAUUCUGCGCCUGCUGCAUGGGGGGUGAGGGAAAGAUGUUGUUUCGGGGGGGGCUGGGCUCGCGGCCUAUCAGCGUGUUGGUGGGGUGAUGGCCUACCACGGCGGGGGCGGGUGGCCGGCCUGAGAGGGUGUGCGGCCCGGUUGGGACUGCUACAGGGGGCAGACGUCGGCGAUAUUGAACAGUGGGCGCAAGCCUGAUGCAGCGACGCGGCGUGUGGGAUGGCGGCCUGCGGGUUGUAAACCUCUUUCGCCAGUGAAGCACGCCUGUCCCUUUUGUGGGUGGGUUGACGGUAGCUGGAUAAGAAGCGCCGGCUAACUACGUG